rnacentral:rRNA from 1 species
GUGGGGAAUAUUGCACAAUGGGGGAAACCCUGAUGCAGCCAUGCCGCGUGUGUGAAGAAGGCCUUCGGGUUGUAAAGCUCUGUCUUCAGGGACGAUAAUGACGGUACCUGAGGAGGAAGCCACGGCUAACUACGUGCCAGCAGCCGCGGUAAUACGUAGGGACCAAGCGUUGUUCGGAUUUACUGGGCGUAAAGGGCGCGUAGGCGGUGCUGUAAGUCACUUGUGAAAUCUCUGAGCUUAACUCAGAACGGCCAAGUGAUACUGCAGCACUAGAGUGCGGAAGGGGCAAUCGGAAUUCUUGGUGUAGCGGUGAAAUGCGUAGAUAUCAAUAGGAACACCUGAGGUGAAGACGGGUUGCUGGGCCGACACUGACGCUGAGGCGCGAAAGCCAGGGGAGCAAACGGGAUUAGAAACCCUUGUAGUCC